UCAUGAAAUCUAAAGAAAGCAGAAAGGAUAUAGAAAUUUUCAGUUGUGAGGUCCAAAGCUUACAAAAUGCUGACAUCGCCCAAAUAAAGAUCAGCUAUGGAGAAGCAACAAUUAAUCUGCGAAUUUUGUCGACAUUACAUAAAUUCCUUCUGAUUCUGCGGCUGUUGCUAAUACCCUGCGUUAUUGCUGCGCUGGUGGCUAUAUGUCUUUGGAAAAAAGUGACUUGCCGCUGAGGCAAUCCAACUUUAAUCCUUAUGCUUUCUGCAAGUAAAAUGUCAGUGGCAUUUUCAGCUAUUUUUGAACAGCUUUGUGUUUGAAUGCUUUGUGCACAAUGACAUUUCUAUAGUUCUGUAAAUGCCAGUAUGAAACUUAUUACCUACCAGAAUAUAAUUUUUUAUUUGUAUUUCUUUAAAUUUGAAAUUUCUAUGCUUUCAAUUCAGCAAACCGAGAAAUUUGUUUUGUACCUUUGCAAAACCUUUACACCAUUUAUUGUAACUUUUUAUUUGUACAUUUAUAACUGUACCAGAAAAAACGUGCAUCUGUCCAAAUGAGCUUACUGUUUAAUAUUUUUUAACAUUGACCUUAAAGAAU